CAGAGAUGACAUCAGGCUGGCAGCAUAAGAUUGUAUUUUGCUGUGGCAGAAAUGAGGCCAGCAUUCCUGGAAAAGUCAACAAGAAUGUUGUGCAGAAAACUGCAGCUUCUAGAUUAUUCCCAAGGCCGAGCAGAAGCUCCUAUAGUGAGCAACAAAGUGCAUUGCAAAGAAAAAUUUUUGUUUCCUGUGCCUUGUGCCACAAACUGAAGCAAAGCAGGUCCCUCGCUGCCUCUUGCUCUCCCUCUGUCUAGGUAUAGCAUGAGAGUAGUUUGUUUGGGGCUGGGAACAUCAGGCUUUUAAACCACAUCCACGUGUUUUGCAACACAACUACCUGCAUAGUUUGCAAGUUAACACUAGAAAUCAGACAAUUCCAGCAGAGGAGGACUGCGCUGCCAGCCAUUUUCUUUCUGCUGUCCUGGACUACAUUUUGUCGUGCUCAUGUCCCAGGUUGUCAUAGCCUGAUUUUUUUUUAUACGUUGCUUAUUUAUGACAGCUUAAACUUCAUCUUGAUGCCAGGUAUUGAGUGUUUAUAAUCUCUUAUUUUCUAACAACUUGUACCUGGCUGUCAAGUGAAGAGGUCGCUGUAAUAGAAAAAUCAUUUGUCUUGUGCACAAAAUGAUACUGGUCUUUAAGAAGUAUGGUUUAAGGCCACAAAAGAGUAGGUAGCUUAGUAAGGUUCAGAGCUGAUGAAAACUUGUUUCCUGUGGAGUUUUUUUCUUACAGUGGGUUCUUCAGUGUCUAACAGUGCACACACCAUUUCUCUCUGCCCUGUGUGUGGAUUCUCCAGUGACUAAAAAAGUUGAGCUCUGCUGCAGUCUUUCCUUUAGCUGUGGUACUAAUCGGUUCUCCUGCCCCCUCUCUGAUACUUGGGUCAAUUAAGCUAACAGAUCUCUGAGACCAGAACCUCAUGUCAAAAUUUGGCCGAAAGAGCCUCAGAUAUUCAGAAGUUAAUAUGGUGAGCUAGACACUUUGACACGCAGCCUGCUGAUGUAACACUUGCUACCACAUGCGGACUGAAAUAUAUCUGUUUAAAAUCAGGCAAUACUGCAGGUACCUGAUCUCCCUUCUCCUCUCUUGUCUGAGCUGCUUGGCAUUUCCUCUCCCUGACUCUGCAGUGAAGGACUCCUGGGCUAGAAAUUAGGAUUCUGCAUCUGUUUCUCCUUUCUUUAGUAUAUAGUCAGGGUUACUUUCUUCUGUUUAGGGGAGUUGGCACAGUAUGUCUGGGACUGAGGUGAGGUCUCUGCCAAGUACUCAGUGGAGCUUUUAGAUCCACCAGUAUCUGACAGACUGAGAUUUUGUUUUGUCAGAUCCCUCACUUGACAUUGCUCACUACCCUUGUUGUAGCCCCUUACUUGCAUCCUUCUCUUCCAGCUCCCAGAGACACUUCUGAACACCUAUUCCUUCUCAUUAGGCAUCCAGGACAUCUCUUCUUGUCCAGACCCAAACAAAAAGUUUACGUGAUGGCUUUUGUAUGUGCAGACCAGACCUGUCUGCUGGCAAAUGCAGCUGAGCGUGACAAGAGGAGGUCACCAGGCAUCCUGGGCACUGUGCCGGAGCUGAAUGUCCUGGGAACAGAGGCUGUGGACAGCCACAUUGUGCGACCAUCCCUGGAAGGUGGUGUGGGCAGAGCUCGUGUGCACAGUAUACCUGGUGGGUGUAUCUCUGCGGCUUUUUGUCGGCUGUGUCACCUGGGCAGGUGUUCCUGUGCAGGCAGCUGAAAAGCGGAGUUGUGCUCAUUUACAUCAAAGCAGCUUCCUGUAAGCUCAUGCAGCCAGAGGCUCCUGUCAUGGGCAUGCAGGCACAGUUUCAAACGCAGCUUUCCAGGAGUGAAAACAUUCUCAUCUCUUGGACCACCCAAUUCCUUUUAAAUGAUGGGCUUUGCUUUCAGGAAAGAUCUCACCAUUCUCCUAGAAAUCUUGAUUUAUUCUGCUGCUCUGAUAAACUAUGAUUUAAAACAUGCUGAAGUGCCAGUUCAGGCUAAUAGCCCCUUCUCCUACACUGAAACGCAUCACUGCAAGUAGAAGACACAGUGCUUUGUAUCUGUCUCCCAAGAUGAGGGAGAGAAGAGCUGAGAGGUACGGGGCUCAGCCCGCAAAGACCGACUCACAGGCUGUCAGCUGAGCUUGGAGUUGGAAUCAGAUCCAGACAACAGAUCCCUGAAUUUAGGUGUCUAAUCUCCCACUCUAGUCAGUGGAGACUUCAUUACAGCAGUCAAUGGAGCUGGGUGUGUGAUUCAGCUGAUGAAAUGUAGGUAUCCAUCCUCUGGUGAGCUGAAUCCCUCAUGGCAGUGGGAGGUGGGACACUGACCUCAUACCACCGGUGUGUCGACACCACUGGGUACACAUCUACAGCCUGGAGGGAAGCCCAUCCCUGAUAAGGACGUGCUGAUGACAGGGAUUUGGUCUCCAGCUGCUGGCAUUGUCUCUCCAGUUCCCCCUCGCAGAGGCUGGAGCUGCUGAGCCCUCCGGAUGGUCUGAGCGUGUGUAGGCCAGCUUCAGCCCCUCUGUGUGGGGUGAGUGAGCACGUUAGACCUUAUUUAGCGUAGUCAAAAUGGCACUGGGAAAGAACACUCAAGGCUCUGCAAUAAAGAAACAACAUCGCUUUGUUAAAAUUAUUUUUACAACCUCAAUUGAUGAGUUCAGACAAAUAGACUUAACCGAGCCUUCUUAGUGUAUGAAAUGUCAAUAUCUACCACUUAUUUUUGAAGCUGUGUUUUAGAUUUUAUUUUCAAGACAAAAGAGUCAUUUAAAAUUAUGCAAAUGAGCUGCCAAACGCAAGGCAUUAUGCAGAUUUGUGGAGGCAGGCAGCAGAGAGUUAACCCUUGGUGCCGCAGCUGGCUGCGGAGGGAGUGCUGCCACAGCAGCUCUGCCUGAAUUCCUUUCAGCCCUUGCGCUCUUUAAUUACAAUGCUCCCGUGGCAGGGCCUGAGGUGCGAGGCUAACCCUCCGGCACGUGACCGAUGAUCAAGUGGGUUUAGGUUGAUGGAGGAGGUGUAUUUGCUGCAACGUUCACCUUGUAGUCCUGCCUGGCACCAGCUGUACCCAAAUCCAACCUGGGCACCUCAGAAAAGACAAGCAUCGUGGCUGUCGUCCGCUGUUUCAUACGAGUUGUUUCCAGAGUAUUUGAAGUGACUGUCAUGGGAGAAAUAUUAAAUUGUUUUUCAAAUGUUAGCAGUGCAGUAACACUUUAAAAACAAUUGACACCGUCAGCUAGAAGUCCUCCUAGCUCACUCGGCUGGCUGGUGUACACAAGAUGUGGUAGCAGCCUUGACUUUCUGGAGAGGAAGGCUCUUAAAAGAGCUCCAUGUUGUGCUAAUUUGUGGGUUCAAUAGCUCAUUAUCCCACCCACCUAUAAAGGUGGUGGAAAUAACUCUCAGCCAAGAACAGAUGGGUUUUGAUAGAAAUCCAAGGCCUGAUCUGCUCUGGAAGCUUGCCCUGAUCUCUGCAACCGAUGCCAACAGCUGACAUAGCCUCAUUGGAGCAAACACUAGUGCUGAGCAAGAAAGCCAAUGGUUUAUAGCAGUGGAGUAUGGCAAAUGGCAGGAGCUGGCAAAUCCCCAACACACUCAAGAGUGUAAGUGCAGCUAAUCUCUGAUGGAGGUGCCUGAUGCUGGGUUAAAAUAGUCAUGGUGACAGCCAAGCCUAGGGAGAAAGUUCACGUAGGGUGGUGUUGGAAGGGUUGGGUUUGUGCUUCAGCCGUGCCGAGGUGGGAUGCCAAGCCCCGUGAAUAUGGGGUUUGUUCAGUGUCAUGCGGGGACGGAUCCUGCUGAGGGCAGGAAGGAGUCUGGCUGCAGCACGGGGGGACUUGAUUCCACAUUUCCUCUUGCACUUCAGUUGCUCAUGGUUCUCUAUGAGGGAGCUCACGGAGCAGCACAGGUGCCAAGGAAAACACUGAGGCACUUGGCAUUUGCUUUCCAGUUGCUAAAUGAGGGGGGGGAAUCGUUUUUUCCCCUCUGCUAUCUUUGAAGAAAUACAUAUUUGUCUAGUGAAUGACUUCAGUAACACAUGUCUCAGUGCUGCUCUAGGAGUUGGGUAUAAUCUGGAUUUCUCUUCUGCAUCCCCUUACACCCAAACUCUUUCAAGUUUGCUCCACUCACCAAAUCGCUCCCUCGCUUCCUUUCUAGUUAAGGCUGUCAUUUCAAGCUGACUGUCUGAGCCGAUACAAAAUACUGAAUAAAUGCUUCAACGUAUUCAAACCUGGAUGCUAUCAGUGAAUUUACAGACUUAAAACCUAUGGCCAAUUUUAAACUGGAUACACAUGCACACGCACAAAGGUUAGCAUGGUUUAGCUACUUUGGUUUUGCUUGGUUUUAAGAGCAUUUUUGGCUCAAAAAUGUGAUGUCUGUCACGUAUUUGGAAAGAGUUGUCCAAAGCACAUGAUCAACAUCUGUUGGUUUCAGAUAUGCCAGAGCAGCUCAGCAAGAAUGUAAUAGAUGCAGAGAUCAGAGAAAACAUUGCUCCUGUGUAUUUUUUUUUUUUUUUAAGAUGGAUUAGGAGUUUUCCUGUUGCUCAGCUAUUUAAGCAAUGGACUGGUAAUCUGGCUAGUGAAAAAAAAGGCAAGAAACCCACCUACAUUGGUUCAGGUUUUUGUUAGUUUUGGAGGGAAUAGCUGAAAAGGAUAUAAAUCAGACACUGCCGCUGUACUGCACUUGCCUUGCCAGCUUAAAAGAACUAAACUAAACUAGUUUAAAUAGGCAGAAAUACUGCUUUGUGAUGGCCCAUAUCUCAAAACAAAUCUGAGCACAAAGACCAUGGAAGUUGCUAGGAAACCUCUAUAGUGCGCUGGAGAAGUUUUGCAGCGCAGGCACCUGUAAGAGAGUCAUCACCACCUGCCAGCCUGGGCAUUUCCCAGAGACUGCAGUACAAAAAUUGUAGUCUGCAUUCAUUUCCAUAAAUGAAGAAUCAGGAAAUGCCUCACAGCCCAUUUUAAAUCAGUGCAGCUUCAGGGGGCUGUAAGCCAUUCCCAGAACCAUCCCUGAAGACUCGACACGAAGGUUCUGUCCACACUAGCGCUGAAGCCCUGACUUCUGUGUUCAGGCAAGGUCUGACCAGGCUCCUUUGCUAGCACAUGCCUGCAGUCAUCUUAAUUAGGUUCUUAGCAAAGAUCUUUGCUUCCGUGGCUCUAACCUUCCCCAUGCUGAGAUUUCAAUAAGGUAACUUUAAGCCAGACUAACCCUCUGGAGGCAGGGCCACCCAGUCUCAUCUCUUUUGCACUUUGUCUCAGGGUGGGUUUUGCCAGCAGAGAUUUCAUGAAGGCAUGCUGUCACGUCAGGUGGUUUUUCUGCAUGGAGAUGCUCCAGAAAAUUGAGGUGAAUCAAUUUAAAAUGUUAAAGCUGCAUGUCCACAAUGUCAACGUGCACAAG